rnacentral:rRNA from 1 species
AACGAACGCUGGCGGCAGGCCUAACACAUGCAAGUCGAACGGAUGUAGCAAUACAUUAGUGGCGCACGGGUGCGUAACACGUGGGAAUGUACCCCAGGGUAAGGAAUAAUGUCUGGAAACGGACACUAAUACCUUAUAAUGACUUUGGUCCAAAGAUUUAUCGCCCUGGGAUCAGCCCGCGCCUGAUUAGCUAGUUGGUGAGGUAAUGGCUGACCAAGGCUACGAUCAGUAGCUGGUCUGAGAGGAUGAUCAGCCACACUGGAACUGAGACACGGUCCAGACUCCUACGGGAGGCAGCAGUGAGGAAUAUUGCACAAUGGAGGAAACUCUGAUGCAGCCAUGCCGCGUGAGUGAAGAAGGCCUUCGGGUUGUAAAGCCCUUUCGGCGGGGAAGAUAAUGACGGUACCCGCAGAAGAAGCCCCGGCUAACUUCGUGCCAGCCGCCGCGGUAACAC